rnacentral:lncRNA from 1 species
UGAGUAUGCAAAGUUGCAAAGGAUCCAGCACGCUCAAGCUCGGCGUUCACAGAUUGUCGGUUGCAACGCUGUAAGCCGUUUUCUAUCAAGGCUGUGGUCCUCGCUAAUGUGAAAUGCAGGCACCUAAGGAGCUCCUUAUUUGGGGGUUUUCUGGGAAUCUGACGCUUUCUUCUUUAGCGAUGGAUGUGAUCCUUUCUUGUCUUUCUUGCUUUUGGUGCAUCGAUUUCAGGAGUAUGCUUCACAGGUGGGUCUCUAGUUGUUUCAUGUGCUGAAAGCACUGUGAAGGUCGUAUCUUACUACGUUUUGUCUUGUAUAUAUUGACUUUUUUAAUUUUUUUUUCAAAUUCAGGUAUGAAAUUCAUCAACUGCUGAGUGCCUCUACACUCUGGGGCCUGGUUCUGACGAAAACAACGUGGCUGGUCAUAAGAAAGAAAACCUCUGCACUGG